GUGCUCACUUCAGCAGCACAUAUACUAAAAAAAUUGGAAGGCUACAGAGAAGAUUAGCAUGGCCUCUGUGCAGGGAUGACACACAAACUCGUGAAGUAGUCCAUAUUUUU
ensembl:snRNA U6 U6 spliceosomal RNA